CUUCGUUAUUUGUCUCUCCACCUGUUGCUUUGGUGACAUUUUGACUCAUCGUAUGAAUACUACAUUUUCUACUGUGUUUCAUCAGUUUCAUCAAAAUGGGUGUUGUUAUAACAGAAAUUUUGCCGCAAUUAUUUGAAGUCAAUUAAAUCACAAAUUCAUCACUUGAGAGUCCACCACGUUUUCUUACCAGCAAGGUGAUCAAACAGCUAUGACUGCUUCCAACCAUGACCAACCAACUGAGCUUACCGCAUCAUCUCUUCUUCGUUAUUUGUCUCUCCACCUGUUGCUUUGGUGACAUUUUGACUUAUCGUAUGAAUACUACUUUUUCUACUGUGUUUCAUCAGUUUCA